GGUCGCUUAGCUCAGUUGGUUAGAGCGUGGUGGUUCGUGCACCUCAAUCCCGUCUUCCACGGUUCGAUUCUAACAGUCUCCUAGCUAAUAUGGAUAUCAAUCCAGACAACGCCAAGGUCGCGAGUUCGACCCUCGUAGUGACCA